GCUAGGAUGAACGCUGGCGGCGUGCCUAACACAUGCAAGCGAACGGGCUAUUUCUGGAGGCUUCGGCCAAAGAGGAUGUAAGCUAGUGGCGGACGGGUGAGUAACGCGUGGAGAACCUGCCCUGUACUAGGGGGAUAACAGUGAGAAAUCACUGCUAAUACCGCAUAAGCGCACGGCACCGCAUGGUGCAGUGUGAAAAACUCCGGUGGUACAGGAUGGCUCCGCGUUGGAUUAGCCAGUUGCGGGGUAACGGCCCACCAAAGCGACGAUCCAUAGCCGGCCUGAGAGGGUGAACGGCCACAUUGGGACUGAGACACGGCCCAGACUCCUACGGGAGGCAGCAGUGGGGAAUAUUGCACAAUGGGGGGAACCCUGAUGCAAGCGACGCCGCGUGAAGGAUGAAGUAUCUCGGUAUGUAAACUUCUAUCAGCAGGGAAGAUGAUGACGGUACCUGACUAAGAAGCCCCGGCUAACUACGUGCCAGCCGCCGC
rnacentral:rRNA from 1 species